rnacentral:piRNA from 1 species
UGGUAUGUAACCAAACUCCACAAUCCUA